rnacentral:rRNA from 1 species
GGCUUCCGGAGCUAACGCGUUAAGUCGACCGCCUGGGGAGUACGGCCGCAAGGUUAAAACUCAAAUGAAUUGACGGGGGCCCGCACAAGCGGUGGAGCAUGUGGUUUAAUUCGAUGCAACGCGAAGAACCUUACCUGGUCUUGACAUCCACGGAAGUUUUCAGAGAUGAGAAUGUGCCUUCGGGAACCGUGAGACAGGUGCUGCAUGGCUGUCGUCAGCUCGUGUUGUGAAAUGUUGGGUUAAGUCCCGCAACGAGCGCAACCCUUAUCCUUUGUUGCCAGCGGUCCGGCCGGGAACUCAAAGGAGACUGCCAGUGAUAAACUGGAGGAAGGUGGGGAUGACGUCAAGUCAUCAUGGCCCUUACGACCAGGGCUACACACGUGCUACAAUGGCGCAUACAAAGAGAAGCGACCUCGCGAGAGCAAGCGGACCUCAUAAAGUGCGUCGUAGUCCGGAUUGGAGUCUGCAACUCGACUCCAUGAAGUCGGAAUCGCUAGUAAUCGUGGAUCAGAAUGCCACGGUGAAUACGUUCCCGGGCCUUGUACACACCGCCCGUCACACCAUGGGAGUGGGUUGCAAAAGAAGUAGGUAGCUUAACCUUCGGGAGGGCGCUUACCACUUUGUGAUUCAUGACUGGGGUGAAGUCGUAACAAGGUAACCGUAGGGGAACCUGCGGUUGGAUCAC